CGUCCCGCCGGCGACCGGCGCACGGGUGAGUAACACGUAUGCAACCUGGCCGCCACAGGGGGAUAACCCGCGGAAACGCGGCCUAAUACCCCGUGACGCCACCGGAGGGCAUCCUCCGGGUGGCCAAAGGAGCGAUCCGGUGGCGGAUGGGCAUGCGGCGCAUUAGCUAGACGGCGGGGUGACGGCCCACCGUGGCGACGAUGCGUAGGGGUUCUGAGAGGAAGGCCCCCCACACUGGGACUGAGACACGGCCCAGACUCCUACGGAAGGCAGCAG
rnacentral:rRNA from 1 species